GGGGGCGAAACGGAUUCGACGGGGAUAUUGAAGCUUACUGUUGCAUGCCGAGUUUCUGUCAGCUCGUAAAAAUGACGGAACUAAAUAUAAUCGCAGACGAUUAUAACUACGCACUGGCAGCGUAAGCUGCUGUGCCGUUCCACUGGCCUUCGCCUGUAAGGCCAGAUUCGGGGCGUCGACUCAACAGGCUGGUCAACCGUGCGUGCCUGGAGCGCGGAUGAUAAGACUCUUCAGGCUGGCAUCCGAAUAUCCCGGUUCCGGGUGAGAAGCGGAUGCGAGAACUAAUCCCGGAACUAAGCAUGUAGAUACAUAAGGGGAGAAUUUUCGGACCCGGGUUCAACUCCCGGCGCCUCCACCA
rnacentral:tmRNA from 1 species